rnacentral:lncRNA from 1 species
UGUUUUGUUUAGGGUUUUUAACCCACAAGUGAUGUUCAAGAUUCAAGCUUGAUGAAGGUGUGAUUAUGGACUAACUUGGGUUGUCCAACAUAGAAUCCCCACAUUACUUGAUGAUUUCUCUUUGUAUAGUUGUUUCUUAUUCUUGUAUUGUUAUUAGUUCAUGACCCUCCUUGUAUGUUUUUACAUCAAGUGUAGUGGUGAACCAUAAGAGGUACCUAAGUGGAAGCUUGUCCUUCCUACCUCCUACAUGACUUCUAUGACACAUUUUGAGGUACCUAAAUGAAGAUGUAAUCUUCUACCUCAUGCUUGAAAUACUUGAACAUUUGGACUUAAUAAUAUAAACUAUACAACCUAAAUAAUAUCUAUGUACAUUUGAACCUUUGAUGUUGAACUCAUGUUCAUUUGUCAAAAUAGUAGGACAUCAUCUAAGACCUAAACCUUGUUAUGAUUCUUAUGAGUGCUUAACUCAUGAAAACAUUAUUAUAACCCUUGUGGUUACCAAGUGUCAUACAAGUGUUAUGUGUUGAAGAUGAUUAUUUCACAUGUUAUUCUCAUAUGUUAUUUUCGUUGUUUUAUUCCGAAUCUCGACUCUAAGCAUACUUGAACUUUAACCCUUAUACUUUCGGACUUUAAAUCUCUACUCGUCAACGAUUGGAUAAUCGGAAAGCCUAUGCAAUAUUGUUGAGGACGAUGAUGCUAUGAAAUGAAGUAGCGUUGAUGC